rnacentral:lncRNA from 1 species
CAGAAGUCGUUGUUGUAAUUUUUUAAAUAAUCAGAUCAAAUGGCAAUGGCAUCGAACCAUUACAGCCCAGUUUUCACAAACAAAAGUGAAGCAAACCAUACAAAUCCGAUCUUUUGCUAUGCCAUUUUACAUUAUGCAGCAAAAAUACUGCAAUCUGAUUGGUUAAUUACCCCGAAGUAAAUAACACCCCACCCUUGUUCACCCCGGGGAAAA